rnacentral:rRNA from 1 species
GACGAACGCUGGCGGCGUGCUUGACACAUGCAAGUCGAACGGUUCAGAAGAGCUUGCUCUUUUGAUCAGUGGCGAACGGGUGAGUAACACGUGAGCAACCUACCCUUGACUCUGGGAUAACAGUUGGAAACAGCUGCUAAUACCGGAUACGACCUCGGCCGACAUCUGCUGAGGUGGAAAGUUCUGGCGGUCAAGGAUGGGCUCGCGGGCUAUCAGCUAGUUGGUGAGGUAACGGCUCACCAAGGCUUCGACCGGUAGCCGGCCUGAGAGGGCGACCGGCCACACUGGGACUGAGAUACGGCCCAGACUCCUACGGGAGGCAGCAGUGGGGAAUAUUGCACAAUGGGCGAAAGCCUGAUGCAGCAACGCCGCGUGCGGGAUGACGGCCUUCGGGUUGUAAACCGCUUUCAGCUCCGACGAAGCGCAAGUGACGGUAGGAGCAGAAGAAGGACCGGCCAACUACGUGCCAGCAGCCGCGGUAACAC